CCCGGCCCCAGCCCCGCGCCGCCCGCCCGCCCGCGGUGGAGAAGACGGAGCUGAUCCAGAAGGCCAAGUUGGCCGAGCGCUACGACGACAUGGCCACUUGCAUGAAGGCCGCGACCGAGCAGGGCGCCGAGCUGUCCAACGAGGAGCGCAACCUGCUCUUGGUGGCCUACAAGAACGUGGCCGGGGUCCGCAGGUCCGCCUGGAGGGUCAUCUCGAGCAUCCAGCAGCAAACUGACGUCUCCAGCAAGAAGUUGCGGCUGAUUAAGGACUAGGGGGAGAAAGUGGACUCGGAGCUGAGAACCAUCUGCACCACGGUCCUGGAAUUGUUUGAUAAGUAUUUAAUAGACAAUACAACUAAUCCAGAGUGUAAGGUCUUCCACCUGAAAAUGAUAGGAGAUUACUUCCGGUACCUAGCUGAAGUUUCAUGUGGUGAUGACCUAAAACAAACGACAGAUAAUUCCCAAGGCGCUUAUCAAGAGGCAUUUGAAUAAGCAGGAAGAGAUGCCACCCACACAUCCAAUCCCCCUGGGGCUGGCUCUUAACUUU